GCUCACCCUGCCACUAGGGAGGGAGGACGCUGCUCUCCUCUCCCUGCAAGGUACACUGCCGCUGGGGGACAGGACCAACUGUCUCUGUCCCCUGUAACUCAGCCUGCCGCUGGGGAAUGGAGCCUGGGCUCCCAAUUCCCUGCAGGACCGGUGGAGAAAUCUUGGUCCCAUCUCCACCAACCACCUGGGGUUCUUCCCAGUAAUACUCUGCAAUAUCUACCCAGCUGAAUGGGUCUGGAUCUGGGUCUCCGCUUCCCUGCUGAGCCUUCU